rnacentral:lncRNA from 10 species
CAGAUAACCACCUUUAACUCUAACUUUCCACUGCCUACCCCAGUCCUAUAAAGCUGCCCCUCUCUUAUCUCCCUUCACUGACUGUCUUUUUGGACUCAGCCCACUUGCAUCCGAGUGAAUAAACAGCCUUGCUGCUUACACAAAGCCUGUUUAGGUGGUCUUCUAUAUGGACACGCAUGACAAUAUUUACAACAAAUACCAAGGAAGAGCUAAGAGCACAUAGCAUUUCCCAGGCUUAUUAGACUGUGGGAUCAACCUCUUUAAGAAAGCAUUUUGCAGAAUUGUUGUUCACAGGUCAUUCUGCAGUGUGAAGUUUUUUUUGCAAUAAGAUCCUUACUCUAGAGUUAACUUCACUAGGAAGUACACUCUGGGUGUUUACCUUUAGAGCUUCAGUUUCUACAAGAAUUUGGCACCGGUUGGGUCUUGUAGAAAUAUUUACUGCAUGGAGUUGAAAGAAGAGUCUGGACUGGGAGAAGGAUGUAUGGAUAAAGAACAAGACCCAGAAUCCGUAGCCAGCAUGAUGAGUUCAGAGACCUGGCCCCUACCCUGGGAGUAGCACAUUCAGUCAGAGAGGUUUAGGUGGAUUCAUCCAAAUACUUUAAUCCCAGAGCUCUGUCCUACAAAAACCAACAGGCUUGCUCAACUGUAGCAGUCAACAAGAAUUCAUGGUGCUUGGUUGGACUGCAUACAUAUUAUCUUUUUCCUUUAGAAAGCUGUGAAUUCCUUGGCUGUUUUAUUUUUGAAAUAAAUGUGUCAAUUCCAUUUUUCUGCCAUUUCUGCUACUUCUUUUCUCUAUAGAAACCUGGAUUUGUUACUGAGCUUUAGGUAUAAAACAGGUUUAUUAAGCUUAAUUGUUUUACUAUUACCAUAGUAACCAUUGUAUUUCCGUCACAGUAACUCUGAACUGUAAGCCAGUAAGCCAUUGGUCCUGAUGGUAAAGAUAGAAACCCACCUCCCUGCACCUCAGAUUCUACACCUCAGAGAAUUUCCAGGCUCUAAUUCCUUCAAUUAUGCCCCUUCUUUCUAGCAUUUUAAGUGCCCCUCUCUGAUUUUUUUUCAAACUCACACCAUGGUGGUCUUGAUUCAACAAUGAAGUCACAGUAGGCAUUGCAGUGGUUAUUUUAUGAAUCCACACAAUUUACAGAUUGCUCCUGAUAAAGCUCUAAAGAGUUUUCACAAUGUGUUUAUUCUGAAAACUACUCUCUACAUAGCCCAGUAUUUUUCCAAUACAAAUAAAUUUUAACCAACAUUACAACAACAAAAAAUUUUGAUGUGCAUUGAAAUAGCUAGUCAAAUUGGCCUCACAGUAGCAAUAAAAUAAUCUGAGAUAAUAGUUUUGUUUGAUUUUUUAUUUCAUGCAUAAUUUAUUUACGAGUAAGCAACAUAUAUUUUACAUUGUUCCUCAUGUCAUUGUAUGUUUUAAUACUGUGAAGUUUACUCUGAACUCUUUGGAUCCCAAUCUUAAAUCUAAUCAAAUCAAAAUAAAUAUAUAGAACAGCUCAAUAUAUGACACAUAGUAGGCACUUAAUAAAUAGUACCUAUUUUAUUAACAUGAUUAUUUCCUUUUUAAUAUUAUUAUGUGAAUAUAUUCUAGAUAGAAACUUUUAGAAUCUUAUUACCAAUUAUAUGUGUUAAGUCAAGUUUAGCCUAAAGAUGCCUCCUUCCAUAUUUUAAGUUCAACCUAAAAGUUUCUCUGUACAUUGUGAACUAUAACCUACACAGAGGUGUAAACAGACUGUAGUCUACUCUUGUGCCAAUCAAUCACUGAGCUUUGGUUCAUCAAAGGUGGUCAAUGUUCAAAUCAUGUUCAAAUAAGGCAAAUGCCGAGCUGUAAACAAUAUGGCUGUUUCUGUACCUCACAUCCACUUUCUGUAUCACUUUCCUUUUUCUGUCCAUAAAUCUUCUUCCCCCA